UUUCUACAUAAUUAUUGAUCAACCUUGAACCAUAGUUUCUCAAAAAGUCAUAUAAAUGGGAGAGGAUUGAGGUAGAAGUAUGUGAUAUAUAAUUUAUUAUCUAAAUUUGGACACUUUUGUCUGGAAAGAAAAAGAAGAAAAGUAAAGAAAAACUGCCAGGAUGCUGGGACAAGAGGUGCACCACAUCCUGCUGGGGAAAGCAAACCAGAACAUCAGGUCAUCCUGGGUAGACACAACCUGAGCCAGUGAGCAACACUGCCCCCAUUCCAGCUGAUUUCUAGUGUAAUUUUCCAUCAUCUGCCUUUUUAAAUGUAGAAAGUCUUGAUUCAGGCUUGACUGGAAGUAUUAAAUGUCUACCUCACUUUUGAUAGGAAGAAGAUGAUUUUUCACCUAGUGGAGUCAUUGAACAGUGGUCUUCAAAUUGGGAUUAUUUCCAAGAAUAGAUUAAAAUGCCAUGAAAAAGAAAAAAUUAUAGAAAAGCAAAAAGAGCUGAAUGCAGUGAAUGAACAUCUGUGAAUGAAGUUGAGAAGGUAUAUGUGGGGCAGACUAGAAUUGCAGUGCACAGAUACAAGAAUGUUGCCUGCUUUGGAGCCAAGACUGCCUUCCGGAUAAAGGGCCCACAGAGAGCUGAGAGCUGUGUAAUACCUCAAAGACUGAAGAAAAGAGUUAGACAGCCAUCUUUCCUUAGAGGAUUUUGCUGCAGACAGCUUGAACUACCAGAAGGUUAUAUACUGACCAUGGGUAGAGUAAGGAAGAAAUACAUCCUUCGGAAAGGACAAUGAAGAUCUUUACAGCAGGGAGGUGAGGACAAAGUGAUUCUCCCUUCUGGAGGAUGCAGCAAAGUGCUGCCUGCCAUCUUGGAAGCACAGAGUAGCCUUCACCACACUCUAAUCCCAUCAGAGCCUUGAUCUUGGACUUGCCAGCCUUCAGAACAGUCUUGCCUCAUCACUGCCAUGACAGGGGGGUCCAAUGUGAGGAUUCUGGUGUCUAUGCCAAGCAUCUCUUUUCCAACGUAGAUCUGAUUUCUUAACAUAGCCAACAGCAAGUCAACAUCAGCUUUGCAGAGAAAAGCAGCACCAACAGGUCUGCCAAAUCCAGAAGAAGAUGAUGAAGCUUCCCACCCAAGAGGUGCAGAGAGAUUUCCUGAAAGAAGCAGUUAAUAAAUGGAUCCCACGCAGCUUUGAAAAACUCAUUAAAAGGUCAUAAAAAGAUUUGCCAAUUUAUUUAUACUCUCAAUGAUGUCUUCACUAGAAAAUUCAAAGUUUGAACUGGGAAAACUUGAAGGUAGUAGUUCUUGAAAAGCUUAUGGAUAUGAACUGCCAGUCCAAGAAUCUGUUUAAAAUUCAGAUGUUUAAUAGUGACAAACAAAAAUCCUGUAUGUGAAGAAAAAAAAACAUCAUGAUAUUGCUUUCUAUAUAAUUUUUUUCUGUUGUAUUGUAAGAAAGAUACAUCCCUUUUCCUAUAGAUAAGACUUCUGAGUGUUUUUCUGUUUGGCAAUAUUAGCAAUCUAUUUUCUGCCUCAGAAAACCUAUUUAUAGACCUCCUAUUAUCAGGCAUUGUACUGAAUUAUUCUUUGUGUCCAAAGUUUUUCAAUUUAUUUCCUUGGUAUUUUAGUGCAUAUACACAUUGUAUAAAAUAAUGGCCUUUUAGUCUUCUUCCACUGUAGCUCUCUUAUUUCUGUUUUAUUCUAAAUUCAUGAAACAUAACUUUCAAAAGGAAUCUUACAAAUAGUGAUAAUAACAGACAUCUUCCUCAAGUUGAUAAUUUUAAUACAUAUUGAUAUUCCAUCAUUCAUUAUAAUGUAUUUUGUUUAAAGUGUAUUUACUUUGAAAAUAAAACAUCUUUUGUUAAUUUUCCUUAUAACAUUUUUGAAUACCAAUUUGUGUUCUAGCAUAUCCAAUCAAGUUGGUCACACUGUAUGAGAAUGAAAUGUAUUUAUUUAACUUACUUAUAUUAUAAAUUGUUUAAGUAGUCUGCUUAUAUUGAUUGUCUUUAUACUUCUUUUUGAAAAUUAGUAUACUGAUCAUUGUUAACUCAUGCUUCUAUUUCCAUGCUAAUUAUUUAUAGGAUUCAUAUCUAUUUUUUCAUAUUAUGAUUUAUGUAGCUUCUUAUCUCUUAUGACCUGAACAGUUUAUAAAAUGCCAAUUAAUUCAUUUCUGUGAGAAAAUAAAAUAAUUCCGUAAAAAUUAAUAAACAUUUUUAUAAGUUUCUCAAUGUUAUUGUCAGUUAUUGAUUCACUGACUUCUCUGUGUAGUAUAUAAAAUCACAUAUUUAUUUAGAAAAUCAUCCAUUUCAUUGAUGUUUUCAACUUUAGCAAAUUAAUCAUGAAAGCAAUUUUGC
rnacentral:lncRNA from 1 species